UGGGGAAUUUUGGACAAUGGGCGAAAGCCUGAUCCAGCAAUGCCGCGUGUGUGAAGAAGGCCUUCGGGUUGUAAAGCACUUUUGUCCGGAAAGAAAUCCUUGGCUCUAAUACAGUCGGGGGAUGACGGUACCGGAAGAAUAAGCACCGGCUAACUACGUGCCAGCAGCCGCGGUAAUACGUAGGGUGCAAGCGUUAAUCGGAAUUACUGGGCGUAAAGCGUGCGCAGGCGGUUUGCUAAGACCGAUGUGAAAUCCCCGGGCUCAACCUGGGAACUGCAUUGGUGACUGGCAGGCUAGAGUAUGGCAGAGGGGGGUAGAAUUCCACGUGUAGCAGUGAAAUGCGUAGAGAUGUGGAGGAAUACCGAUGGCGAAGGCAGCCCCCCUGGGGCCAAAUACUGACGCUCAUGCACGAAAGCGUGGGGGAGCAAACAGGAUUAGAUACCCUGGUAGUCCACGCCCUAAACGAUGUCAACUAGUUGUUGGGGAUUCAUUUCCUUAGUAACGUAGCUAACGCGUGAAGUUGACCGCCUGGGGGAGUACGGUCGCAAGAUUAAAACUUAAAUGAAUUGAC
rnacentral:rRNA from 1 species